GUGCCAGCAGCCGCGGUAAUACGGAGGGUGCAAACGUUGUUCGGAAUCACUGGGCGUAAAGGGCGCGCAGGCGGUUUGAUUAGUCAGAUGUGAAAGCCCACGGCUUAACCGUGGAAGUGCAUUUGAAACUGUCGGACUUGAGUACCAGAGGGGGGUAGUGGAAUUCCCGGUGUAGGGGUGAAAUUCGUAGAUAUCGGGAGGAAUACCGGUGGCGAAGGCGACUACCUGGCUGGAUACUGACGCUGAGGCGCGAAAGCGUGGGGGAGCAAACAGGAUUAGAUACCCUGGUAGUCCACGCCGUAAACGAUGUCAACUAGAUGUAGGGGGUGUUGAUCCCCUCUGUGUCGGAGCUAACGCAUUAAGUUGACCGCCUGGGGAGUACGGUCGCAAGAUUAAAACUCAAGGGAAUUGACGG
rnacentral:rRNA from 1 species